rnacentral:rRNA from 1 species
GAUGAACGCUGGCGGCGUGCCUAAUACAUGCAAGUCGAGCGAACAGACGAGGAGCUUGCUCCUCUGACGUUAGCGGCGGACGGGUGAGUAACACGUGGAUAACCUACCUAUAAGACUGGGAUAACUUCGGGAAACCGGAGCUAAUACCGGAUAAUAUAUUGAACCGCAUGGUUCAAUAGUGAAAGACGGUUUUGCUGUCACUUAUAGAUGGAUCCGCGCCGCAUUAGCUAGUUGGUAAGGUAACGGCUUACCAAGGCAACGAUGCGUAGCCGACCUGAGAGGGUGAUAGGCCAAACUGGAACUGAGACACGGUCCAGACUCCUACGGGAGGCAGCAGUAGGGAAUCUUCCGCAAUGGGCGAAAGCUUGAAGGAGCAACGCCGCGUGAGUGAUGAAGGUCUUCGGAUCGUAAAACUCUGUUAUUAGGGAAGAACAAAUGUGUAAGUAACUAUGCACGUCUUGACGGUACCUAAUCAGAAAGCCACGGCUAACUCCGUG